rnacentral:lncRNA from 1 species
UCACGCUCAAUGUUUUAAAUGAUAAAAUUAAAAUUUAAUUUAGAACAUGCUUCAAAAGGGACCCUCAAAGACUAAACUAUUAAUGUGCAAAUAAUUCGUAUAAAUACGAUGUUGUUAUUACUAUUAUUAUUAUAGAUGAGAUGUUUGACACGUACACAUCUAUCGAAUGUGAGUAAGUAUUCAUUACUAUGUACCAAGAAUUCUUUGUAUG